rnacentral:lncRNA from 1 species
AGGCAGUUACACUGUUAGGCAGCAACAGUGCUGAUGCUGGACUGUGGCAGGCAGAGGGUGCUAUCCUGACACACUUCACCUUAGUGCAGGAAACUUCAAUUUGGUGGAAGAAAGGCGAUUUCGAGGUGCCAAUCUGGGCGACACUUCCCAGUUGGAGAGUCAGCAAAAGGGAGAGGGCAAUUCCAAGAAGAGGGAAAAGCUUGUGCACAGGCUAGGCAGAUGUCCUCCUGUGACACAGAUGAGCCCUGAGGAUGCCCCCAUGGAUCUUGGGAAUAUUUUCCAAGCUUACGGGACAGCGUUGUGGAGCAGUUAAGAGCGCAAGUGUACCUCCUUUAUUCCUGAAGCCCGGGCAGUGCUUGACCUGGUCGACCAGUGCCCAAAACAGAUCCAGAAAGGAAAGUUCCAGGUUGUUGCCAUCGAAGGACUGGAUGCCACGGGUAAAACCACGGUGACCCAGUCAGUGGCAGAUUCACUUAAGGCUGUCCUCUUAAAGUCACCACCCUCUUGCAUUGGCCAGUGGAGGAAGAUCUUUGAUGAUGAACCAACUAUCAUUAGAAGAGCUUUU